rnacentral:rRNA from 1 species
ACACAUGCAGUCGAACGAUGAUGCCCAGCUUGCUGGGCGGAUUAGUGGCGAACGGGUGAGUAAUACGUGAGUAACCUGCCCUUGACUCUGGGAUAAGCCUGGGAAACUGGGUCUAAUACUGGAUACUACCUCUUACCGCAUGGUGGGUGGUGGAAAGGGUUUUACUGGUUUUGGAUGGGCUCACGGCCUAUCAGCUUGUUGGUGGGGUAAUGGCUCACCAAGGCGACGACGGGUAGCCGGCCUGAGAGGGUGACCGGCCACACUGGGACUGAGACACGGCCCAGACUCCUACGGGAGGCAGCAGUGGGGAAUAUUGCACAAUGGGCGGAAGCCUGAUGCAGCGACGCCGCGUGAGGGAUGACGGCCUUCGGGUUGUAAACCUCUUUCAGUAGGGAAGAAGCGAGAGUGACGGUACCUGCAGAAGAAGCGCCGGCUAACUACGUGCCAGCAGCCGCGGUAAUACGUAGGGCGCAAGCGUUGUCCGGAAUUAUUGGGCGUAAAGAGCUCGUAGGCGGUUUGUCGCGUCUGCUGUGAAAGCCCGGGGCUCAACCCCGGGUCUGCAGUGGGUACGGGCAGACUAGAGUGCAGUAGGGGAGACUGGAAUUCCUGGUGUAGCGGUGAAAUGCGCAGAUAUCAGGAGGAACACCGAUGGCGAAGGCAGGUCUCUGGGCUGUUACUGACGCUGAGGAGCGAAAGCAUGGGGAGCGAACAGGAUUAGAUACCCUGGUAGUCCAUGCCGUAAACGUUGGGCACUAGGUGUGGGGG